GGGGUGGCGGAGGAACACAAGAUUCAUUAAACAUUUUGAAACAAGGAUGAUUAGCACUUUGAUUAAUACCCAUUAUCAAACACCAUUUGAAUUACAAUUUAUACAUGUAUGACACCAUUUGGAAUUAUUUGAACUCAAAACAGGGUGUCGUCUAAUACAUAUCUUGGAUGUACUUAUAUGUAUAUAUGAUCAAUGAUUGUCUGCAUUUACCAUCUAUGAUUGUCUGCAUCUAUAUAUGUCUGUAGCGUACAAAUCAAAGCUAGGAAUUUAUAUCACCAUCAUGUUCAAACUGUAGCUGGUGAUCGAUCUUGGAUAGUUUCAGUCCUUGAUAUGCUUCAUCAAGAAUCAUUAAGUUCAGCAGAUACAGAUAAACAAAAAGGAUGAUAAAGUAUAUUCGAUCUUCAUGACUACAGAACGUGAGAUAGACAUUUGAUCUUAAGUGAAGGCAUCUGGCACAUGCAUAUUUGAUCUUAGAUGAAGGCAUAUGGCACGUGCAUGUGAUCUUUUGGGAAAAAAAUAAAAAGCGGUAAUUUGCUAUUUUCCAAGUGCUUGGAACAAACUUUUUUUUCAAUCAUUGUAAUGGCUUGGAUCGCAC
rnacentral:lncRNA from 1 species